CCCGCCCUCCCUCCUCACCUGUUUGCUGGUUCUCAGGUGAACUCUAAUCCAAGAUGGACGUCCACACAGAGCUGUGAGAGGGUGCGUCCGGCCCUCCAUUCAGAGGUAACACCUCCGCAGCGAGUCUCAAGGAGAGAUGAAGGUGCCGAGGAGGAGGAGGAGGAGGAGAAGAAACAUUUUGCAAGGAUCAUUGUGCUACGGAUUACGCGGAGCACGAAGAGGAUUUUUGCUGACUGUUUUCAUCCUUCUUUCCUCUGUGACGACUCGGAGUCGAGCACCUGAUCACGGACCCAGCAUUUACCUGCAGGGAUUAUUACCUGAGUGACACCUGGGCAGACUGCUGCUGUGGAUUAUUACAGACGAGUCCCUGGAUCACAGUGCGUGGACUGUUACCUGACGUCUCUUCCACGGUUACAGCGAGUGGGCGAGCGGAGAGAAGACAGCGGAGCUCCAGACAGACUGCGGGGCACCGCGGCGCUGCGCGGCCGACACAGCGAGCCGGCUGCCGGAUCCAAAACCGCGCGGACUACCGAGGGGGGGCUGGCGGAAGGAGGACGCGGAGGGCUGCCGGUUGGACUGUUUCGCGCCCGGCGCAUGGAGCUCCGCGCCCCGGGCAGACUGAGGCUGGUUCGCCCGGGGGAGGAAGCGAGAGGAGGAUGAGGAGGAUGAGAGAAACAGCUUCUUGUUUUAUUUCAACACGAGAGGAAGACAACUCCCAAACUGGCAUGAUGUAAGAGAAGAGAAGAUGGAAUCAAGAGACCAGGAUGUUGCAUGAACCGGAUGGCAAGUGGGGACUGAGGAGCAGCCGCCGCUGUAAUCUCCACUGUUCAAUUAGCUGCAGAGGCCAGGGCCACGCCUCCGACACUUCAUUACCACGGCCAUGUUAUGAAGGU